UACGUAGGUGGCAAGCGUUGUCCGGAUUUACUGGGCGUAAAGAGCGCGCAGGCGGUUGGAUAAGUCGAAUGUGAAAGCCCCCGGCUCAACUGGGGAGGGUCAUUCGAUACUGUCCGACUCGAAGGCAGGAGAGGGAAGCGGAAUUCCCGGUGUAGUGGUGAAAUGCGUAGAUAUCGGGAGGAACACCAGUGGCGAAGGCGGCUUUCUGGCCUGUUCUUGACGCUGAGGCGCGAAAGCUAGGGGAGCAAACGGGG
rnacentral:rRNA from 1 species